rnacentral:rRNA from 1 species
GACGAACGCUGGCGGCGUGCUUAACACAUGCAAGUCGAACGGUGAAGCGCCUUCCUUUUUGGUGGGUGUGGAUGAGUGGCGAACGGGUGAGUAACGCGGGAGUAACCUGCCCCCUUCUUCUGGAUAACCGCAUGACAGUGUGUCUAAUAGGGGAUCUUCUGGGUCUGUCGCAUGAUGGGUCUGGGAACGCUAUUGUUUCGGUGGGGGAUGGGCUCGCGGCCUAUCAGCUUGUUGGGGGGGUGAUGGCCUACCAAGGCGGUGACGGGUAGCCGGCAUGGGAGGGUGGGCGGUCACGCUGGGACUGAGACGCGGCGCAGACUACGAGAGGAGGCAGCAGGGAGGAAUGGUGCACAGUGGGAGCAAGGCUGAUGCAGCGACGCCGCGAGGAAGAUGGAGGCCUGCGGGUUGUGAACUUCUUUCGCGAGUGAAGCAGGCAUGCCUAGUGUGUGGGUGGGUUGACGGUAGCUGGAGAAGAAGCGCCGGCUAACUACGUG